rnacentral:rRNA from 1 species
AAGUUAAUAAGGGCGCACGGUGGAUGCCUUGGCAUUAAGAGCCGAAGAAGGACGUGACUAACGACGAUAUUCUAGGGGGAGCAGUAAGUACGCAUUGAUCCCUAGGUCUCCGAAUGGGGAAACCCACUAUGUUAUGCAUAGUAUCCGUAAGUGAAUACAUAGCUUACGCGAAGGUAACGCAGAGAACUGAAACAUCUAAGUACCUGCAGGAAGAGAAAGUAAAAACGAUUUCCUAAGUAGCGGCGAGCGAACGGGAAACAGGCCAAACCAAGAAGCUUGCUUCUUGGGGUUGUAGGACUGCAACGUGGACUUAAAGUCUAUAGAAGAAUUACCUGGGAAGGUAAGCCAAAGAGAGUAAUAGCCUCGUAUUUGAAAUAGACUUUAUACCUAGCAGUAUCCUGAGUAGGGCUGGACACGCGAAAUCCAGUUUGAAUCCGGGAGGACCAUCUCCCAAGCCUAAAUACUCCUUAAUGACCGAUAGUGAACCAGUACCGUGAGGGAAAGGUGAAAAGAACCCCGGGAGGGGAGUGAAAUAGCACCUGAAACCGUGUGCCUACAAGAAGUUCGAGCCCGUCAAUGGGUGAGAGCGUGCCUUUUGUAGAAUGAACCGGCGAGUUACGUUAUGAUGCGAGGUUAAGCUGAAGAGGCGGAGCCGUAGCGAAAGCGAGUCUGAAUAGGGCGCUUUAGUAUCAUGAUGUAGACCCGAAACCUAGUGACCUAUCCAUGAGCAGGUUGAAGGUGCGGUAAGACGCACUGGAGGACCGAACCAGGACACGUUGAAAAGUGUUUGGAUGACUUGUGGAUAGCGGAGAAAUUCCAAACGAACUGGGAGAUAGCUGGUUCUCUCCGAAAUAGCUUUAGGGCUAGCGUCGCAAUUUAAGUGUAUUGGAGGUAGAGCACUGUUUGGAUGAGGGGCCCAUCUCGGGUUACCAAUUUCAGAUAAACUCCGAAUGCUAAUACACAUGUGCGGCAGUCAGACUGCGAGUGCUAAGAUCCGUAGUCGAAAGGGAAACAGCCCAGACCACCAGCUAAGGUCCCAAAAUAUAUGUUAAGUGGAAAAGGAUGUGGGGUUGCACAGACAACUAGGAUGUUAGCUCAGAAGCAGCUAUCAUUCAAAGAGUGCGUAAUAGCUCACUAGUCGAGUGACCCUGCGCCGAAAAUGUACCGGGGCUAAACAUAUUACCGAAGCUGUGGAUUUAAUAUUAAUUAAAUGGUAGGAGAGCGUUGUAAUCAGCGAUGAAGGUAUACCGUGAGGGGUGCUGGAGCGAUUACAAGUGAGAAUGCCGGUAUGAGUAGCGCAAGAUAAGUGAGAAUCUUAUCCACCGUAAGACUAAGGUUUCCAGGGGAAGGCUCGUCCGCCCUGGGUUAGUCGGGACCUAAGGCGAGGCCGAAAGGCGUAGUCGAUGGACAACAGGUUGAUAUUCCUGUACUAGUAUUGUUAGUGAUGGAGGGACGCAGUAGGCUAAAGGGAGCCAGUUAAUGGAUUCUGGUCUAAGCAGUGAGGUGUGGAAUGUGUCAAAUGCAUUUUCCUUUAACAUUGAGCUGUAAUGGGGAAGCAACUACGGUUGCGAAGCCCUUGAUGUCACACUGCCAAGAAAAUCUUCUAGCGUUUAAUUCAAUACUACCCGUACCGCAAACCGACACAGGUAGUCGAGGCGAGUAGCCUCAGGUGAUCGAGAGAACUCUCGUUAAGGAACUCGGCAAAAUGACCCCGUAACUUCGGGAGAAGGGGUGCUGUAGAAAUACAGCCGCAGUGAAAAGAUCCAAGCAACUGUUUAUCAAAAACACAGCUCUCUGCUAAACCGCAAGGUGAUGUAUAGGGGGUGACGCCUGCCCGGUGCUGGAAGGUUAAGAGGAGGGGUUAGACAUUAGUCGAAGCUCUGAAUUGAAGCCCCAGUAAACGGCGGCCGUAACUAUAACGGUCCUAAGGUAGCGAAAUUCCUUGUCGGGUAAGUUCCGACCCGCACGAAAGGCGUAAUGAUUUGGAUACUGUCUCAACGAGAGACUCGGUGAAAUUUUAGUACCUGUGAAGAUGCAGGUUACCCGCGACAGGACGGAAAGACCCCAUGGAGCUUUACUGCAGAUUGAUAUUGAGUACCUGUGAAGCAUGUACAGGAUAGGUAGGAGACUUUGACCUUGGGACGCUAGUUUCAAGUGAGUCGCUGUUGGGAUACUACCCUUGCUUCAUGGUUGCUCUAACCCACACGCAUAAUCGGCGUGGGAGACAGUGUCUGUCGGGCAGUUUGACUGGGGCGGUCGCCUCCUAAAGAGUAACGGAGGCGCCCAAAGGUUCCCUCAACAUGGUUGGAAAUCAUGUGUAGAGUGUAAAGGUAUAAGGGAGCUUGACUGCGAGAGCUACAACUCGAGCAGGUAGGAAACUAGGGCUUAGUGAUCCGGUGGUACCGCAUGGAAGGGCCAUCGCUCAACGGAUAAAAGCUACCCUGGGGAUAACAGGCUUAUCUCCCCCAAGAGUUCACAUCGACGGGGAGGUUUGGCACCUCGAUGUCGGCUCGUCGCAUCCUGGGGCUGUAGUCGGUCCCAAGGGUUGGGCUGUUCGCCCAUUAAAGCGGCACGCGAGCUGGGUUCAGAACGUCGUGAGACAGUUCGGUCCCUAUCCGUCGCGGGCGUAGGAAAUUUGAGAGGAUCUGCCCUUAGUACGAGAGGACCGGGGUGGACUUACCGCUGGUGUACCAGUUGUUCCGCCAGGAGCACCGCUGGGUAGCUAUGUAGGGAAGGGAUAAGCGCUGAAAGCAUCUAAGUGCGAAGCCCACCUCAAGAUGAGAUUUCCCAUUCUUUAUGAAUUAAGAGCCCUGAGAGAUGAUCAGGUUGAUAGGCUGGAAGUGGAAGUCCUGCGAGGGAUGGAGCGGACCAGUACUAAUAGCUCGAGGACUUUACC